AGGGCACCACCAGGAGUGGAGCCUGCGGCUUAAUUUGACUCAACACGGGGAAACUUACCCGGCCUGGACACUGGAAGGAUUGACAGAUUGAGAGCUCUUUCUUGAUUCAGUGGGUGGUGGUGCAUGGCCGUUCUUAGUUGGUGGAGCGAUUUGUCUGGUUAAUCCCGAUAACGAACGAGACUCUAGCCUAUUAAAUAGGCUCUCGGCUUUUAAACGCCGGGAGGACUUCUUAGAGGGACAGGUGGCGGUUCAGCCGCACGAAAGAGAGCAAUAACAGGUCUGUGAUGCCCUUUGUUGUCCGGGGCCGCACGCGCGCUACACUGAAGAGAUCAGCGUGCUUUACGUUCCUGCUCCGACCGGAGUGGGGAACCCAGUGAACCUGCUUCGUGAUUGGGAUAGAAGAUUGUAAUUAUUCUUCUUGAACGAGGAAUUCCCAGUAAAUGCGAGUCAUAAGCUCGCGUUGAUUACGUCCCUGCCCUUUGUACACACCGCCCGUCGCUACUACCGAUUGAACGAUUU
rnacentral:rRNA from 1 species